rnacentral:rRNA from 1 species
AAGUUUUAAAUGGCCGCAGUAUUUUGACUGUGCAAAGGUAGCAUAAUCAUUAGUUUCUUAAUUGGAAGCUUGUAUGAAAGGUUGGAUGAGAAAAUUACUGUCUCUAUUUAAAUUAAUUAGAAUUUUAUAUUUAAGUAAAAAAGCUUAAAUAUACAUAGAAGACGAGAAGACCCUAUAGAGUUUUAUAUUAUUAUUAUUUAUAUUUUUUAGUAUUAUAAUUAUAUAUAUAAUUAAUUAUUUGAUUGGGGUGAUUAAAAAAUUUAUUAAACUUUCUUUUUAUUAUUUCAUUAAUUUAUGAAUUAUUGAUCCUUAAUUUAAGAUUAAAAGAAUAAAUUACCUUAGGGAUAACAGCGUAAUUUUUUUUAAGAGUUCUAAUCGAAAAAAAAGUUUGC